CGGGCGUGCUCGGAGCAGGGGGACUGCAGAGACAGCUCCUCGGUGCACGACACACCCAACCAGAGUUUGGGGUCGUUGUGUCGAGGGGCACAGAACUCGUGCCCUUCCUAUGAACAAACACCCUACAUGU